GGUUGCUUGGCCGAGUGGUCUAAGGCGCCAGUGUCAGAUGCUGGUCCAUGAGGUCGUAGGUUCGAAUCCUACAGCAACCG